CAUUUCCUCCGCUUUACUUUUUCUUUUUAAACUCGUCUAGCACCCCCACCAAGCAAGCCCAAAACCUGCCGGAGCGCUCAUCGAGAUGUAUGAGUCCGAUCACGUGGAGAAGCUGGAGGAGGCGACGGCGGUAGUGAGGAAGCAGCCGUUGCGGGUAUGGCGUCUGGAUAGUCGAUGUUGAACUGGAUCGCAGCAAGGGAAGUGGUGCAACGGCCAUCUUUGGCGGUGAAGGAGCUUGUUGAGAAUAGCCUCUGCGCCGGUGCUACCUCCAUCUCCAUCGUUGUUUAAGGAUGGAGGACUCCAGCUCAUCCAGGUUUCUGAUAACGGACAUAGCAUCCGGGCAGCAUUUACUGUACUGAUUCAUGGAUCAUUUAGCUGGAGCCUGGAGGAUUAAUCAUUGCUAGUUAUCUGUGAGCACAGGUUGGUUGAAUGUGCAGAAUUGAAGAGAGCUAUAGAAAUUGUGUAUUCUGCAACUUUGCCAAAAGCUUCUAAACCAUUCAUUUAUGUGUCUAUUAACUUAUCACCUGAAGAUGUAGAUAUACAUAUACAUCCAGCAAAGGGAGAGGUAAGCCUUUUGAAUCAGGAUGGUAUUGCUGACAGGAGCCAGAACACAAUAGAGUCCAAGUUGAUGAGUGCUAACACUACAAGGACAUUUCUAUCUCAGAUAUGUUAAUAGGUUUUGAUUUAUAAGUAUUUAGCUGCCACUCUGUGUAAUUUGCCCAUUAAAUUAUAUAAUUUAUUUUGUUAAAUUUAUUUAGGGUAAUGUAGCAUCAUGUUGUUAUAAUUUAUUUUGUUAAAUUCAUUUAGGGUAAUGUAGCAUCAUGUUGUUUGUGUAUUUGUGCGUCUGUGGUGGCUCUGUGUAAGGAGCUCCACUAUAUUAGAGAACUUACAAUGAUAUGGGAUAGGAUAAGACAAAUAAUAUUUCAGUUUUCUUUUGCAAGAAAAGUUCACGAGAAAAAAAAGAUCAUUAACAAGUUCACUUUUUAGGGUCUUAUUCUUCAGUUCAUAUUCUAUUAGAAUUUACUAGUUGCUUAGUUUAUUUAAUAUAGUGGAUUUACGAUUUUACUAAAAAUGAUUUAGACUUGCAAACACUUGUCAAUGUAUGUCCCGAUUAUGCUCUCUAUGAAUAGAACCUUGACAGAUCAAAACUGUCUCCAUUAGCCUGCAAAUAUGUUUGACUCUAAUGUCUACACCAGUAGGAUGAAUGUAUUACAUUAUCAUAUGAAGCCUUCAAUGGCUUUUGCCAAAAAAAAUCCAGAAGCAUGUGCGUACUUUUAACCUUUCAGUUUUGGGAUAUUGUAAAAAACUGUACAUGUAACAGCCUAGCUGAUCACACUUUCUGCAUUGUUUCUGCAGGAGAUAGACAUCUACUUUAUGAAUGUACUGAAUGUGAGCUAAUCCUGCUUAGCUUUCUUCAUAUGCUUCUCCUGCAGAUCAAUGAUUAGAUGUCAGUUGACAUGUAGCCCAGGGCUUCUUGAUGGGGUCGUCGCUGGUGGAGGGGGGGGUGACCGGUCCUGGUGG